rnacentral:rRNA from 1 species
UACAGAGGGUGCAAGCGUUGUUCGGAAUUAUUGGGCGUAAAGCGCGUGUAGGCGGCUUUGCAAGUCGGGUGUGAAAGCCCUCGGCUCAACCGAGGAAGUGCGCCCGAAACUGCAGAGCUUGAGUACCGGAGAGGAUGGCGGAAUUCCCCAAGUAGAGGUGAAAUUCGUAGAUAUGGGGAGGAACACCGGUGGCGAAGGCAGGUCUCUGGGCCACUACUGACGCUGAGGCGCGAAAGCCAGGGGAGCGAACGGG